rnacentral:tRNA from 1 species
GCGGCGGUAGCUCAGUGGUAGAGCGCCAACUUCCCAAGCUGGAUGUCGCGAGUUCGACCCUCGUCCGCCGCU